GUAAGUUCUUUAUAGUUGGAAUCAUUUCCCACCUUGAUUUAUCAUUUAGAUUAAUUAAUGCUUCAAAUUUUCUGCAUUCGUCAUCCACUUUUCAAAUAAAUGAAAAAAAAAAAAUUCUCUCACAUCAAAUCACACAGAGUUUAACUUUUUCUUAUCACUAACAAUUUCUUAAAUCCAAAACCACAAAAUAGGAAUGAAAAGAAUC
rnacentral:lncRNA from 1 species